GGGCGAGCUGGUCGAACCGGGCCGCGAACUGGCUGGCGGCCAGUUCCUGCAUGGCGGCGAUGUUCGCCCACUGGCUCGCCCGC
rnacentral:tRNA from 1 species